GACAGAGGUGCCAAGCGUUAGGCUGAAUCACUGGGCUUAAAGCGUGUGUAGGCGGAUCGUUAAGUACCUUGUGAAAUCCCACGGCUCAACCGUGGAACUGCUGGGUAUACUGGCGGUCUUGAGCCACCUAGGGGCGAGCGGAACAAACGGUGGAGCGGUGAAAUGCGUAGAUAUCGUUUGGAACGCCAACGGUGAAAACAGCUCGCUGGGGGUGUGCUGACGCUGAGACACGAAAGCCAGGGGAGCGAACGGG
rnacentral:rRNA from 1 species